rnacentral:lncRNA from 1 species
CCUCUUUACAUAUUUCUUUCGGAACUUAAAGUUUAUUUACCUGUUCGUAUGAAAAAUAUGAACAACGAAUAAACUAAAAUGCAAACAAAAGUUGCAUCUUAACAUAAAGAACUAGUUGUUAGCAGCCCGUGCACUGCACGAGCCCAACACUACAAGAACAAACUCCGAAAUAUUUUUUCUAUAAGUAAUCAAGCUUUAUUAAUACCAGUAGGUGCUGAUACAUCUUUUGAGAUACAAAACGUGGUAAAACAAAGUAAGGUCCUAUGGUUCCUGAAUGAUGUGAAGACUAAAAAAGUGUUACUGAAUUGUAUAUAUUUAUAAGUUAGUUAUAAAAGCUAACAGAUGCAGCAUUUCUAUUCUAAUGUGUAUAUUUUAGGUGCAACAUCGUCGAAGCAAUUAGUUGUUGUUCCUUCCAGGUUGUCCAGAGUAGACAGAGUAUGCAGACAACAUUUCAGAUGGCCUUAUGUUUCUUUCUCAUCUUCCUUCCCGGCUAGCUUCUGGUAGCACCUCGUAGAUUGGAUAGUUUGAUUUGAGUUUAGCUAAUGUUUUUAGCAAAGAGUAUUGGGCGACUGUUAAGGUAACAGAACUUUUCUGAUCAUUAUACCUGAGAGAUUGAAGCAAGUCCAUCUUCGACCAUCUCAACUAAUGUUUCUUUUGAACUCUCAAAUUACCUGCCACUACAAAUUCUUUAAGAUGGAAAGAGUUAGAAGAUAGGGGGCAACAACUAAAAGAUGUGAAGCACUAAAUAGAAGACCCAAGAAAGGGAGCGAGAAUACGUAUGUUGUGUCACAAGUAACAUCUAAAGUUUCUUUCAGUCCUUGCCUUGGAAUGAUCUAUUCAAUCCUCGCCAGUGAAGCUGUCCUGAUCUAGACCUCCCCUUGUAACAUAAACAAAAACUGGAGAAAUUUAUUGCUAUUCUCGUAUAGUUAGCAUGAAGGUAUCAAGUACCAUAUACCAUCUUUCUCCAAUUCUCCCUAAUUCCUAACUUACUGGAAAGGCAACCUCUUCCUUGGAGUUAUCCAAGCAACUACAUAUUUGUUAUGUGAGCAUGUAGAAGGCUCAUAGCAAUUUAGAAAGAUACAUUCUUUAAAUCAAUUAUCUAUGCUCUCUUUUACUUAAAGAGGUUUUCAGUUUAAUCAUCUAAUGUAUGGGGAAAUUUUCUUUAGACUAAUCCUUCUAGUGUAAAAAUCCUUCUGUUGUCUGUACCUUUUUAUGGAGCAUUCAUUGCUAUUUGGGACUUUCCUCAUGACUAAUGCUUACUUCAGAAUACUGCAUUAAACAACCCUAUACCAGUCCAAUCAUAAAUUGUAAAGAGCAUAUAUUGUUUCAAUUAAAAUAACCGACUACACUAUGCAACCACCAUUUAUCUUUGAAUGAUCUUAGAGAUUAGCAUGGAAAAAAUAUAAUAAUAUGAUAUAGUGAAAGAAUGAAAUGGACUAACAUGUGCUGCGACUUAUAUCGAAUCUAACUAUUUGCCGUAUGGUAAGCAAGUACCAUAGCCAUGUUAGGAUUACCUUGUCCUAGAGUAAGGAAUGAAAGAAUAGAGCACGCUAAAAGCUAAUAUGUAUCAGUAAUAUGUAAAAGCACAAUUAUUUUAAGUUUAUCUGAUAACACACAUAUUCAUGUUCCUUCAAAGGCAAAUGAAGAUUGCAGGUGAGCAGUACCUUAUUAAUUAAAUGAUAAAGAAUAAAGAUAGCUGCCAAAGAUGGGUAUUUUAUGAAAAGUCUUAUCUAUAUGACUAAAUAUACAAAAAUGAUUUUGUUGUUUGUUACUUAUAUAGGAGAAAGAUCUUCACCAAUAAAUAGCACUUUGAUACAGAAAUAGCAAAAUAUGAAGAAAAUUCAUCUGAUAUAAAAUUUGAUCUCGAUCAAAAGCUACAGCAUAUAGCAGAGAUAGCAAUGGACAGUGCAAAAAAAGAUAAUGUCUGCUAUGUUACUGGACAUCUAUUGCAUAAGGGGUAACCUCUUCUCUGCAGGUUCGCCCGUAACAAACAAUCAUUGUGCAAUGUUAUCCAUACAAAAUGAAAUGAUGUCGAGAGGAGCCUUACAUUUUCGUUUAAGUUUGCAUUGUUGGUUGUGGAGAUGGUUCGUGAGGUGAGAAGCCUAUAGCAGCAGUUGACAGAGCAGUUGUCAUUUUUGUCUUCCUUCCAUACAAUUCUGUCAUGUUCUGUUGGUAGGAGGAGUUGCGUAUAGACUGAAAUAUUUCGCCAACAAUACAAGAUUUUUUAAUACAUCCAGCAACCAAGUUUCAGAAGAGUGCUAUAAAAGAUAAGUCUAACUACAAUAAAAACAUAGAUCUAUAGUGAGUAGUGCUAUAUAUUGUAAACGUAACACCUCUAUUAAAUAUCAUCAAAGGUUCUUGUGACUUUCUUGAGACAUUAUGAAACACCACAUAAAGAAAGAUCCGCAGGCAGAAAAUCACAUAUUGUGAAAGACUGCAAUUACAGAGUCCUUGAGACUAAAAAGGCGACACAUGCCAAAGCAAACUACAAAAAAAUGAGUCUCCAUCUGUUUAUACAAAUGAAGAUCAGACUCACCAUACUGUCUUCCAAAAGUAAAUUUACGAAACCAUCAAUUUGAUGAGGUCAGUCACCAAUUAGAUAUCUUGAAUUGCUACAUAAAUAUAUUCUUGAAAGAUGGCCCAUCACUUUCACUGGUAUCUAGCACUUGGUACAACCACCCCAACUUUUUCUUUCUUCAUUUCUCUCUUAUCCUUUCCUAUUGGUGAAGCAACAGAAGUGGGAAUAUAGAGUAAAUCUAGUGACAUGUACGUGAACUUCAAUAGGACAAUCACAAUCACAUUUCUCUCUUAACAUAAUUUUGCAGGAACUGCACAUAAACAGACCAUGAAAAUUAAUAAUGACAACAAAUUAGCUUACCCUAUAUAAUUUAAGUACCAAUUAUUUUUUCAAAAAGGUCAUCUCGGCUUAUUUCAAAGAGUAUCUACUUCAAACUUGAUAUGACUUUUCUCAAUACAAUUCCAAUUUCCUUAGUAAACAUCUUGUGACGCCAAUCAAGCUUCUUUAAGUUGGUGCAUACUCCAAUUGCUUAUGAAAGCGAGUACACUUCAGAUCCAAUCAUUGUAGAUGAACACCUUAAAUCCUCCCCCUAGUUGAAAAUGUUUACUGCUUAUGCUAAUAUAAUAAGUAUAACUUUUUCGUAUAAAUGUGCUGAAAAUGGUGUUCUUUCCUUCUUCUUUUUUCUAUAGUGGAGAUAGUCGCACGUAAAGACAGACAUAUUAAAGGACUCUAACUUUACUUCCUCAUUCUUCUGAAGCUGAUAUGUAAAAAUCUCAAGAACAUUAUAGACUGCUUCACAAGUUUAGAGAUAUCAACAACACCCUCAUCUCCUCUCAUGUUAUUGUAAAAAUCAAGGACCCGCAGUUUGCAAGUCAAGGGAAUUAGUUUGCAUGCUGCAUGUGCUAUAACCAAAACCAAAAUCAUAGCUCUUUUUAGUUUUGUACGAAUAUUUCACCAUGUUUACCUUAUAAUACAUCUUUUAAUUUCUUUUUAAAUUUUCUUAAGGACUUAUUUCGCCUGAGUAUCAGUGUAGAUCAUGUUUAUACAUUGACCAUGUAAAACCCAUAGUAAUUUAAAGGAAGCUUUAUACCAAAACAGAGGGAAAAAUGUGAACAAAGAGAAUAAAAUUAAAAGAACAGUAGAAGAAAGGGGAUUAGGAACUGAACAGAUAAUAUCUAGGAAAUCUUAGAUCUAUGCAAAUCAGAGACAAAUCAGAACAUGCAUGUAUAGAAUGGGACAGGACGAAAGUAGAAACCAAAUUGACACCCAAUUUCAGCCAAAAGAAAAGUAAAAGAAACACUUUUUGUGAGGUUACCAUCCUAAAACCAAUUUCUUAUGAAUGAAAUACCAAUGUGUGUGAAACUCGUAGGUACACCAUGUCAUCAUCCACUUCUUUUUGCAUACACUACCAUAAGCUGGGAAAUUGAUAUGAAAAUCCAUAAUUUUCUUUUUUCUUGACAAUCCAUAUGAAAAAUUGAUAUUACCCAAAAUGGAUGUUAAUAUUUUUCUUAGGAAGAAGAAAGUUCAUCCAUUACCUCUCAAUAUGAGCCGCCCACAGAUCAGUAUGAAGCAACUUCUUUGCAACCUUCACCCGUUUCCUCUUGUACACCAAAAAAAUCCCGUGUGCCUUUUAGUUGUUUGGGCAAAUUGUAUUCUUAAAACCCCAAUUUCAAAUCUUAACACUAAAAUCUCAUUAAAGUAAAAAGAAAUUACUUCAUGAAUCCCAAGACCAGAACGAAAAAAGAAAACAGCAAAAUGAAGAAUAGGGGAAAAUCAGAGAAAGAAGAGAGCAUGGAAGAAGAAGAUAAGUAGGAAAAAUUAAGAGUAAAAUUGGAAGCGCAAGUGACAAAGGAGUAGGAAAAAUGUUAGUGGGAGACAGAUGUCCCGCAAAGACCAACCACUUGUCAGGAAAUUGAGGAAAAUGAAGGACUGAACUCCAAUACAAAAAUGCCCACGACAAACUUCUGUAAUAUCCAUUUU